CCUACGGGUGGCAGCAGUGGGGAAUAUUGGGCAAUGGAGGAAACUCUGACCCAGCAAUGCCGCGUGAAUGAAGAAGGUCUUCGGAUUGUAAAGUUCUUUAGUCAGGGAAGAAGUCAAUGACGGACCCUGAAGAAUAAGCUCGGGCUACCUACGUGCCAGAAGCCGCGGUAAUACGAAGGGAGCGAGCGUUGUUCGGAAUGACUGGGCGGAAAGGGUGAGUAGGCGGUUGUAAAAGUUAGAAGGGAAAUACCAAGGGCUUAACUCGGGUGCUGCUUCUAAAACUGUAUGACUUGAGUGCAGUAGAGGUUAGUGGAAUUCCUAGUGUAGCGGUGGAAUGCGUAGAUAUUAGGAGGAACACCAGAGGCGAAGGCGGCUAACUGGACUGCAACUGACGCUGAGGCACGAAAGUGUGGGGAGCAAACAGGAUUAGAUACCCCAGUAGUC
rnacentral:rRNA from 1 species